rnacentral:lncRNA from 1 species
ACGGCAGAGAAGGAAGACCUCUUACAAUCUGACAGGCUAAUAUGCUUGUCAAGAAAAAAAUCCCUCGAGAACGAACAAAGAAGUAAAGAACAGAGGUGAGAUCCUGGACAAAACAUGCUAGUUGCGACUCUACUGAUGGUAUCCGCUUUUGUUUACAGGAAUUGGGGGAGGCCUGUAGAGCAUGUUGGCGCUGCUGUUCCGAGCCAUCAAAUUUGCGCAAGAACUUCCAGAGGGCUUCUUGGCUACUGUUUUGCUGUUAGGACCAGGUACAUGACAAGUUCCCUGGUUCCCAUCUAGAUCUACGUAGCUCUUGCAUGAUUUGAACUUCUUGUACGGGCUCUCUUUCUUGCGUAGAUCCUGUAGGCAUCUCACCUCGGACAUACAAUCAAAGGACUGAGACUUCCCGUCGUAGUAUUUGGAUAACCCUUUCCUGCAAAGAACAGCACGGUACUUGCAAGGUGAGAAUUUUGUUCCUUUUGAUGUACAUAAAUUGACUGAUAUAUGAAAGUAUUUUUCCAAGGAACUUACUUGAUAGGGAGUUCUGCCUUCAUAGCUGACAGAUCGCAGAUGCUAUCUGAAUUCAGUCUUCGCACUGGCUGCGGCGUUUGGGAAGCCGCCUGCAGCGCAAACUUGUCUUGUUGAGCUUCAAACUCCUCGCCGUCUGAGAACUGGGCCUCAUCAUCCGAGUCGCUGGAGAUGGAAGAUGAG